rnacentral:pre_miRNA from 1 species
CUCUAGGAUUUAUUCAUUGCAUAGGCUGUGUAUAUUUUUAUUCGAUACCCAGAUCAUGUAGUGUGAACAUUACAGAG